rnacentral:rRNA from 1 species
GGGGAAUAUUGCACAAUGGGCGAAAGCCUGAUGCAGCUACGCCGCGUGAAGGAAGAAGGCCUUCGGGUUGUAAACUUCUUUGAUCAGGGACGAAGGAAAUGACUGUACCUGAAGAACAAGCCACGGCUAACUACGUGCCAGCAGCCGCGGUAAUACGUAGGUGGCAAGCGUUGUCCGGAAUUACUGGGUGUAAAGGGCGUGUAGGCGGGGAGGUAAGUCAGAUGUGAAAUUCCAGGGCUCAGCCCUGGAGCUGCAUCUGAAACUAUCUUUCUUGAGUGCUGGAGAGGAAAGCGGAAUUCCUAGUGUAGCGGUGAAAUGCGUAGAUAUUAGGAGGAACACCAGUGGCGAAGGCGGCUUUCUGGACAGUAACUGACGCUGAGGCGCGAAAGCGUGGGGAGCAAAC